rnacentral:rRNA from 1 species
UACGAAGGGGGCUAGCGUUGCUCGGAAUCACUGGGCGUAAAGGGUGCGUAGGCGGGUUUUUAAGUCAGAGGUGAAAUCCUGGAGCUCAACUCCAGAACUGCCUUUGAUACUGAAAGUCUUGAGUAUGGGAGAGGUGAGUGGAACUGCGAGUGUAGAGGUGAAAUUCGUAGAUAUUCGCAAGAACACCAGUGGCGAAGGCGGCUCACUGGACCGGCAUUGACGCUGAGGUGCGAAAGCGUGGGGAGCAAACAGG